ensembl:snRNA U2 U2 spliceosomal RNA
AUUGCUUCUUGGCCUUUUGGCUAAGAUCAAGUGUAGUAUCUGCACUUAUCAACAUAGUAGUAUUGUUCAUAGUAGCAUUAUUCAAAUUAGUCAAAAGAUAGAAGCACAAGUGUCUAUUGACAGAUG